rnacentral:lncRNA from 1 species
UUUUGGUUUUUCCAUUAGCUUAAAUAAAGACAGAAACAAUUAACGUGGAGUUCAACUCCUACAAACUUGGAAAUGGGAAAUAUGGAAGAGGUGGUUCCUAAACAUAAGGAUGACCAAUUCUUUUCUUAUUGUGCUUGAGAUAAUUAGACAAAAUACUGAAAUAAAAUGUUGGAGUGGUUUACUCCAAAUACUUUUGAUUGGGAAUCUUGGUACGUGACGAGAUCCUCCGGUUUGGUUCUGGU